GUAUAUAUAGCUCAGUGGUAGAGCAUGUGCUUAGCAUGCACGAGGUCCUCAGUUCAAUACACAGUACAUCCA
rnacentral:tRNA from 1 species